UGGACAGAUUAUUAUUGUAUUCGUCUGUAUUUACGGCGUGAAAUAGGGGAUUACACUCUUUUUAAAUGGAAAGUGAAUCAAUUAAUAUAAUAAACUCCU
rnacentral:pre_miRNA from 1 species